AACCACUGAUCCUCCAACCACUGAUCCUCCAACCACUGAUCCUCCAACCACUGAUCCUCCAACCACUGAUCCUCCAACCACAACUCCUCCGCCCACAUCUCCUCCAUGUAUUAAUGGAAAGCCAAACGCGAACAACAUCUGCAUCUGCGACGACUUCUGGACCGGAGAAACGUGUUCAAUCGAAAACGCCUGCAAUGAAACAACCAUCGGGUCCUUCAGAUUCCCUCGCACGCCCGUCGGCUGGUUCGCCUACUCCACGCAAACGUGUGAAGAAGGAACGUCUAACGCUCGGAAACCACGCGCUUCGGCCAGAUGUUCCUUAAGAAAUGGGCGGCCGAGUUUCGGUUCUCCGCAGGUUCUUCAGUGCGACCAGACUCUUCAAGACAUACAAAACAACCUCACCAGUGCAGCAGAUCUGGACUUGUUAGCGUCCAGCGCUCAGAUUCUAACGUCCCAACCGGAUAAACUGAAGGAAGAAGACAUAGAAACGGCCGCCCAGAUCGCCAACACCCUGCUGCUGUCGCCCAACGCAACAGAGACCGUCAGGGUGGCAGCCGUCGCCACCAUCAGCCAGCUGCUGGAGACUAAACCGCCUGAGGAACCGCAGGA